rnacentral:rRNA from 1 species
UACGUAGGGACCAAGCGUUGUUCGGAUUUACUGGGCGUAAAGGGCGCGUAGGCGGCAUGACAAGUCACUUGUGAAAUCUCUGGGCUUAACCCAGAACGGCCAAGUGAUACUGUCGCGCUAGAGUGCGGAAGGGGCAAUCGGAAUUCUCGGUGUAGCGGUGAAAUGCGUAGAUAUCGAGAGGACCACCUGAGGUGAAGACGGGUUGCUGGGCCGACACUGACGCUGAGUGCGCGAAAGCCAGGGGAGCAAACGGG